UACGUAGGGUGCGAGCGUUGUCCGGAAUUAUUGGGCGUAAAGAGCUCGUAGGCGGUUUGUCACGUCGGAUGUGAAAUCCCGGGGCUUAACUCCGGGUCUGCAUUCGAUACGGGCUGACUAGAGUUCGGCAGGGGAGACUGGAAUUCCUGGUGUAGCGGUGAAAUGCGCAGAUAUCAGGAGGAACACCGGUGGCGAAGGCGGGUCUCUGGGCCGAUACUGACGCUGAGGAGCGAAAGCGUGGGGAGCGAACAGG
rnacentral:rRNA from 1 species